ACAGGCCAUUCUAUCUCCAUGCAUCAGAUAAGGACUUUGCAUUGAGAUCCAUUCAUUUCCAAAGUCUGACCCUGACCCUUACCCUAAGCCUAACUAUUACUAGUACAUGUCUAACCACUGCUAGUCUAUUCCUAACCCUAACCUUAACCAAACAGAAGGGCUUGACUUUCCACAAAUGACCUCAGUUUGUGGAUGAAAUGGUCCUCUAAAUGCAGUAAUACAAGUGCACACACACACAGAGCAAGAAAGUUAUUUUCUGAAUAGAUUUUACUCAUUGCAUUUUCAAGGACUGAAGAGGCAAAAGAGGAGUCAAUCAGUGAAAAAGAUGAAAUGCUGAAGUCUGUGUUUUGUACUCAAAAACUGAGUUUGAAGAGAAACUUCCAGCGUAAAGGAGACGAUUGUGUUCAAAAUCACAGCUGUGCUUAAAAAGGAAUACAACUGAAAAUCCUGGUUGUUUUCAUUUCUAUAUGCAUUGGAAACUGCACAAUUUCUUCCAAGUCAAGACAUACAGAAAAUAUAUCAGUUUAUUCUAUUGCUAAGCGGUUGUGACAAAAUUUGAUCAAUAUGACAAGUCUGACACUGUGACGUCACAUUGUUUUCCUUAUAAUUCAAAAAUACUUUAUUGAUCCCAAAGGAAAAUUAAAUGUUGCUAUUAAUUCAGGUUCUUCAAAGUGUUCUUGUAGACUGGGAUGACUGUUGGCAGUAAAGAUCUCUUGUAGUGGCCCACAUUACAGCGAAUCUGAGUUGUUUACAAGCAGCAUGAAUCGCCUUGAAACAGUUGCUGGGCAACAUUCAACCAUGGCAACCAUUUCCUAGAUUUUUUGGGCUUAGUUCUGUUCCCUCUGCCUUUCUCAGUUUUUAUGCUCAGUAGUCCCACCCAGAUGAUCCACGUCUGUGCUGGCAGUAAUUCUUCCCAGCCAGCAGGUGGUGGUGUUUUCAUGUUAAGUUUGUUAUUGAACAGUAGAAUCAGUUCAGAAACACAUGUAUAAUGGCUGACAGAGGCAGUUUAUCAGUCUUAAUUUAAUCAUUCUUCAUCCUGUUUUGUUGUUUAGAGAAAGCACUGCUUUUUCACUCUUUCGGCAAUUGAAAGCAACGUCAAUUAAAGGGACAUACGCCUGACAAUCGUCUGAGAGUUUAUCUAUCUGCACAACUGUUACUUGGAAACACAGUGGGGGCAGAACAACGUCCCUCAGACUCACCGGGUUUUUGGAAAAUCAUUCCCUCUGCUUUUGGAUGGUGGGGAGCUGGGAAGAUUUCUAUUAAUAUGUUUUUACAUUUGGAAAGUUGUUAUGAUGGAUAACUAUUGCAACAAAGAAUUUUUUUUCCAAGGAUUUGGACAACAGACUGGACUGGAGAUGCAACAGUGAAGCCGUCUGUUAGAAGGGACAGAGCAGACUGUACAUCUUCAGGAAGCUAAAAUACUGAAGGACCCACACAAUUAAAAAACUGUGAAUCAUCUGCUGCAGUUGUUGGAGGUCCUCAGUUGUUAGUGACAAUAGUAAUGGAGAGCCUGCAACACACAGCCGCAGGAGCAGCAUUCAGGAAGGAUCUUUGAAGAUAACGAGCUACUACUCCUGCUCAUUAUCUUCAAAGGACAAGCAGAUCUAAAGAUCCAGACUGUGUUUUACUAAAUGAACGCGCCGGUGGGGAGUUCUUCAGAUGAACGAUCAGUCCAGCCGCUGCAGUCCUCUUUCACUCUGCACUGAGUCCAACAAACCAAACCCUUUGAUCAACCUGUUCUCCUCUUCACCUGUGGUGGCACUGCACCAGGAACCACUGAAGGAAGCAACACAAAAGCCUCUGAAGAAGACACAACUUCCUUCGUCAUGAAAUGUUACAAAAAUGGAGUGGUGUAAAUCUUUAGCAGUUGCAGGAUUUCUCUGUUUACGUUUUCAAAAGACCACGAGCCAUUUCUAAAGCGAGACCUAGACACAAAUGUCUGUUUUGUCUGCAUUUACCCAGAAUGCCCUGUAUUGUAGGGACGGUCUAAGGUCUGCUUGGCAUUCACAUGUGCAUUCGAAUGACACCAGAGUUCACUUGAAGUGAACCCAGAGCGAGGUUUUUAGGCUGUUUUCUACAUUAGAGUUUCUUUACACAUUCACACCUCCACAGAUGAACCAGGAAACAAACUGGAGUUUGAUUAAAGCGGGCUAAACAUGGCUGGUGUGAGUGCACCAUUAGGCACCUACAUGUGCUAGCAACUAGCAGGAAAAAAGUUUUGUCUUGGCAGGAAUCUGACCCCAGCUGUUCAUUCAGCACACCUCACAGCCGCAGCAGGCACUGGCCGAUUUAAAAAUGUGUGUUUGCUCCUUCAUUGCUGGUGUAGAUCUGCCAUUUACCAUCGCUCCUCCACUCAUAGGUUUAUGCAAGACCUUAACGCCCUCACACAUCUGUUUUGAGGCUGCAUGCUAGCUAUGUAAUCACACAUGGUAUCUCACCAGAGUUAAAGAAAAGCUUAUCCAAAAAGCUAAAUCGGGACAUGUUUUCACUCAACAUCAAUAAUAGUAAGAAUGACAGUUCAUGAAGAGGAUACAGGCUGCAUCGCCUCAGCAUUGAUGCUGGACAUAAAAGCUGACCUGCUGUCAUAUGUAAAAACUGACACUGUUUGGGAAACAGAUGUUACAGAAACCCAAAGACGCUUCAUGACAACAGUGACGACCAUUAAGACUGUCAUUAGUGUUCAUGUCAUGUUCAUGUCGCCCUUCAAAUAAAGUGCUACCAUCGUUUGGUCAUUUUUUGUCACUGGUCAAUGGAAAGCUAAUUUCUUCUGGCAACUUUACAGCUUUAGUAACUUUUAUUGUGAACACAGUAAGAGCAAUAGGCAGGCAGUGAAUUGACUUGUUAUUCAUAGGGAUGGAUUACUGAGCAAGCCUACCAGGCUCAGGGACCUAAGAGCUCCAGGGGCCCUAAAGCCUGGGGCUCUGCCCAAAGUACUAUGUACUGUAACAUAAACUCAUAUUGGGUUUGUCUGUUGUCCAUUUGUAUCCACAAAGUUCACCAGAAUCCAUCAGUUAAGGUCUGUUUUCCCAAAACGUUCUCCCAGAGAAAACUCGUAGAUCUCCCCCUUGACAAUAAUGUCUGGAUGACGAAGGUUACACACAAAGAAUGUUUUAUACAUCUGCACCCAGAAGCCCACAAGACCAUAAACCGCCCAUGGAUUAAAAGGCUUAUUUUUAUAUAAUAUGCGUUAAAAGUGUAUCACAUAUAGCAUCCCCUGCCCGCCUACAGGGCAGAGAAAAAAGUUCAGACUCAGGAUAUUUUUCCACUAUCAUCCCUGUUUUCAUGCUUCAGGCAUUCAUUGAGGUCGUAUAAUUUUCUGGGGUCUGUUCUGACAGCAGCUCUUUAUUUAUUUCCUGAAUGUAUCCUUAAACUAUCCAUCGUUGUGUCUCCAUCUCAGAAGAUUAAACAAUGAGAAAAUGUUUUUUACAGCUGGUCACCUAAACAACUCGGGUGAUGAGAAUAAGUCUGACUAUGAGCGACAGGACCCUGUCUGAUCAGCCUUUGUUUUGUUUUUGUCCAAAUGAUGAUUUGUUUUCUCUGAAAAUAUUCUGUGCUUCCUUAACCUCCUCAUAGCUAGACUGCAUGUUUUACCAAAGUGCCCCUCCUGUUGACCGUCCUGCUUUAUGGCGUUCAGCUUUGGCAUUCUCUGUUCAUUUGCUGACCUGGAAAUGUGUGAAAACAGAUGCAGAUAAGAUCUUUAGACCCAACAUCCCGUAUUCUGGAGAUUGGGAAGAUGGCAUUUCCAACAUUCAUGGGGCAAAAAAAAAGCUCGCUAAUAUUUUAGAGACUUUUGGUCUAACACAACAUGUCAAACAAGCAACACACACUCAAGGACACAUACAGGACCUGGUUAUCAGUAAGGGUGUGAAUAUUUCCAAUCUCUCUGUAACUGAUGUCGCAUUGUCGGAUCUCUUCGCUGUUAUUUUUGAAAGUUCUUUAUCUUUUAACCCACUUGGACAAACAGCAACCAUCACAAAACGUUCU